GCCCAUGAUUCGGAUACAUUCUUAUGAACCCCUGGUACCUCUGCCAAGCAUCAUACAGACUCUCACCACUAAACUGAACAAAUCUAGUAAUCUUAUCUCUGUACUC